UUCUUCAGAUGAGGCGGACGCGAGCAGCACUCCUCCGGGUCAUUACGGUUCAGAGGAUCUGUAAGGUUUUACAUUGAAUCGUUACCAAGCGUUCAUCGAUCCUUCAUUGAUCAUCCAAAGAUCUGUUACUUACUGAUGCGUUUCCUAGCCUCGAUGUAAGCAUUAUUUACGGCGUCGUAAGUGAUACAGGUUUGCGAACCGGCGGUGGGUGGACUGUGAACAAUGAAAAAAAUUGAAUUAGCAAUAAAAUCAAGUAAUGAGAAUUAAAAGCCA